GGUCAAAAAAAUCACCAAGACAUUGUCUCGUGUCUCCAGAGUCAGGCACAACUUCAUAGGCUUGUCUUGUAAGCAUAACAACAUAAAACCAGAAAUGUAAAAGAAAUCUGUAAAUUGUGAAAUUGAAAGAAUAAAUCUCAUACAUAAAGAAGAGAGAGAGAGAGGAAGGGGAAAAAAGGCUAUAGACUUUUAAAUUAAGUGCAGUUUUUCCUCGUCAGAGAGCAGAGGAGAUGAUGGACUUGUGAGACUGGUGCAGAUUGGAUAAAAAAA